AUCACUUUAAAAUAGGAAGCUUGUAUCGUAGAAUCAGAGGCAGUCUUGGGCAGGUUGCUAUCAAAAGAAUCAAACGGCUAAUUUCUAAUCUCACUUAUUAUUUCUCCUGUUGACAUUACUUUCACAAUUUCACAUUUCCUGUUUCACAUUUUUGUAGACUCCUUACUCCUCCUUCACUCGACAACACACGUCCCCAGCUGUAUCGUGGCCCAUCUUUGAACCUGAAAUGAUGCAAAUUGGUGGAUCAUCGCCAUUAUCGAACACAAGCCCACUAAAUGUCUCUAAUAUUAACCAAAGUUUCCAGCAGGUCUCCAAAAUACACACAUCUCCAACACAAAUGGAUCCUUUUUAUACUCAAGGGCUUGACAUCUUACAUUACUGAGGCAGUGCUCUGCAACCAGACGGCCUUCCUGUCAUCAAGCCUUACCUAGUUUUCAAGUAAGCAUUCUUUUAUUUCCCAUCCAAGUCCUACGACUGGCACCCUGCCG